GACGAACGCUGGCGGCGUGCUUAACACAUGCAAGUCGAACGAUGAAGCUGGAGCUUGCUCCGGCGGAUUAGUGGCGAACGGGUGAGUAACACGUGAGCAAUCUGCCCUUCACUCUGGGAUAACUGCGGGAAACUGUAGCUAAUACCGGAUACGAAGCCUUGGGGCAUCCCAGGGCUUGGAAAGAAUUUCGGUGAAGGAUGAGCUCGCGGCCUAUCAGCUAGUUGGUGAGGUAAUGGCUCACCAAGGCGACGACGGGUAGCCGGCCUGAGAGGGUGACCGGCCACACUGGGACUGAGACACGGCCCAGACUCCUACGGGAGGCAGCAGUGGGGAAUAUUGCACAAUGGGCGAAAGCCUGAUGCAGCAACGCCGCGUGAGGGAUGAAGGCCUUCGGGUUGUAAACCUCUUUUAGUAGGGAAGAAGCGCAAGUGACGGUACCUACAGAAAAAGCACCGGCUAACUACGUGCCAGCCGCCGCAGUAA
rnacentral:rRNA from 1 species